GGCCGCAUGGUCUGGUGGUGGAAAGAUUUUUUGGUUGGGGAUGGACUCGCGGCCUAUCAGCUUGUUGGUGAGGUAAUGGCUCACCAAGGCGACGACGGGUAGCCGGCCUGAGAGGGUGACCGGCCACACUGGGACUGAGACACGGCCCAGACUCCUACGGGAGGCAGCAGUGGGGAAUAUUGCACAAUGGGCGAAAGCCUGAUGCAGCAACGCCGCGUGAGGGAUGACGGCCUUCGGGUUGUAAACCUCUUUUAGUAGGGAAGAAGCGUAAGUGACGGUACCUGCAGAAAAAGCACCGGCUAACUACGUGCCAGCAGCCGCGGUAAUACGUAGGGUGCAAGCGUUGUCCGGAAUUAUUGGGCGUAAAGAGCUCGUAGGCGGUUUGUCGCGUCUGCUGUGAAAUCCCGAGGCUCAACCUCGGGCUUGCAGUGGGUACGGGCAGACUAGAGUGCGGUAGGGGAGAUUGGAAUUCCUGGUGUAGCGGUGGAAUGCGCAGAUAUCAGGAGGAACACCGAUGGCGAAGGCAGAUCUC
rnacentral:rRNA from 1 species